ACCAGAUAUAAUAUUAACGACAAGAUGAAACAAAGAUACGAAUCAUGACUUUUGUCCUGUUUUAAAGUCACCUUAUGGAACAAUACAUCAUGAAAUCAAUAGUUGUACAUCUAGGAAAUUUACCACUGGAGCUCUCUUCCACUGGUGUGGAUAUUCUAAUUGGUCUCAGGUGGCCGUCUCUGCCAUUUUGGUGAUUGGCUAGAAUCCAAGGGUGUUUUUGAAGAUGGCACCUGGAAUUCACAAAACAUGGCUAAUUCUUCUGAGAAGAGAUGGGACACAAACAUGAAAGAGGAGUCGUAAAAACGUCAGGCAUCUUUCGGUGCUCCUUCAUCUCCUAAGGAGCUUCUCCCAGGACAGGUCUCUGUCCCCGCAUUCUUUCCUUCCGCCUGGAGGGUAAGUUCCCGGAUGCAGGAGGUAGUUUGUUUGCCCGAGGGCUCCGACCAGCAUUGGGUGCUGAGGGAGGCGGGCCCGGCGGUGCGCAUUUUUUUUUUUUUCCAGACAAGUCUUGCUCUGUUGACAGGCUGCAGUGCAGUGGCACCAUCUCGGCUCACUGUAACCUCCGCUUCCUGGGUUCAAGUGAUUCUCCUGCCUCAGCCUCCUGAGUAGCUGGGAUUACAGGCGCCCGCCAUCAUGCCCAGCUAAUUUUUGUAUUUUUAGUAGAGACGGGGUUUCGGUUUCACCAUGUUGGCCAGGAUGGUCUCUAUCUCCUGACCUCGUGAUCCGCCUGCCUCAGCCUCCCAAAGUGUUGGGAUUACAGGCGUGAGCCACCGCGCCCGGCCCCGGCAGUACACUUUGAAUUCAGCAGUGACCAGGGCUGUUUGUUUAGAAAAGCCCGGGGCUCUGGUUCUCCACUGUAGUGUCAUUCAGCAAUGAUUCCUUAGUGACAAACAACCCCGCCCUAACCCCCAGCCCUGUCCAUUUCUCCUCAUCUGCACUAAGGGAACCAG
rnacentral:lncRNA from 10 species